UACAGGCAGAUUAUCUCUAAGACUGUAUGCACUCUAGGGCAUGUGCUAAUUUAAAAAUCUUGUCCGUCUGAGCCUGACUGCUAACAAUUCAUCUUAGACAACAUCCUUUUUACACCUCAUGCUACUCCUCUGAACUGACAGUGAGUUAUCUUUCAGAGAACCGGGGAAAAAAAUCAUGUAGAGAUGCUGACUCUCUAGUGAAGAUACACUUAGUAUAUUAAAGUUCUCCCGGGCUCAGGAGUAAAGAAGCACGCGUGUGCUUUCCUACGCUGAUGGAACUUAGAACAGGGCGCUCUGCUAUCGAUGACCUGCAUUAAUGCCACGCAGAACAAGAUCUGGCAAGCGCCCUCCCAAAUCUGCAGGAACGAUCUGUUCACACCAUAAAGCUUGAGGGAAAAGGUUAGACACCUCAUUACAACGGACAAGUCUACAGACUCACACUAAACAAUGCUGAAGUAUGGCUUUCCUCAGCGUUGGUGGCAACUCAAGUCACCCAAGCACCCUGCCACACAUGACCGUCUGCACUUCAGCAUCAAAGCAGACAUGUGACCACUGCGCUCUCAGUAUCUGCCUGAAUAAAUCCUUGCAAGUCAUUCAGGAGGAAAGCACGAGCUUUGCACAGUUGAAGCGCUGAGGCUGAACUGGGAGAGCACUGUUUUUACUCUUCAGCUUCCGGACAAACCACCAUUUUACAGAUACUAACUGUGAGCCUGCCUUCCUAGCUACGUAAGCCAAUACUGUACCUGUAAGGUCUCUCUGCAGACGUAGGCUAUUUGCGUUUCAGAUAAUGGCCCAGUCACUAGAAAGAAACAACAACAACAACAUAUUGUCAUUUGAAGCCAAAUUAAAAACAGUCUAGCCAUAAAAUUAUAAAGCAGCAUAUGACUUCUGCAUGUAUCAUUGGAUGCCUUCUUUUCUGACUAAGAGCGGAUAGCAUUUGCAUAAUUUAAAUGAAACAAACACUGAGAAUUUUAAAGUCAAUUCUGAAAAUAAGAGCUUUAUUCCCAGACAGCUCUGGACAGUGAACAUGGAAAGUGCCCAUUAUGUGUAAAACUUAGUGCACGUGGCACACACAGGUCCCCAGAGAGCCAGGACUGUCAGCUUAGUCCUCAAACAGUCUCAGGAACUAAGCCAAGAGCAUGGCUGACUCUGUUCGAGAGUUACUGGCAGAGGCACAGGGCACUGGAGGAGACCUGCUCCUGACCUCUGAGAACAUGCAUACGCAGUGCAUGUGCAACAUGCAAAACAGUCAUAACACAAAACAAUGUAAAGACCUUAAAGGUUAGUUAGAAGCAGCCGCUUGGAAACGUCUAGUGACAUCUUUAACAUGUUCUCUAUGCGUACUGAGGGCGGGAACCCCAUGAGUAUAUGCUUGCGGAGUCCAGAUGACUUUCUAGAGCAAGUCUCUCAGAACAGGCAGGCCUGGGUCAGAACCUUACCAAAGAUCAAAGGAACCAGAUGAUCUCUGGAAAGCAGAUCUUCCUCUAACAUGAAAUAGAAAAUCCUUAUGCAAGUGUCCCAUCGGGAGCUUCGAAACAGUGCCUUUUGUACACGAGAGGAAACUGGUGUGCUGCCUGCUGAUGCUGAGACCCAGACUAGAGCUGACACGACAUCUCCGCAUAGAGAAAGCCCUCGUCGCUUCCUUUCAUUUCUGACUGACCACACCUACUUCCUGACAUAAACGUCUGGUCCUUAGUAAACUGAUAAAAGAGCAAC
ensembl:lincRNA